GGAUACAGUAAUGAAGAAUAAAGUAUCUACUUUCUUGAAAAUCUGAGUCUAUCAGGGAGAGAGAUAGCACUCCAAUAGUGGAUUAAUUGUGAUUAUGAACAUCUACUAUAAUGGAUAGUAGAGAAGAUAAUUUGUAUGUAAUUGAAGGACCACAUUCUUCUUAGCUUGAAGUCAUUGUGAUAGCAUCACAUGGAGCCUACCUGGCAUGUCAUAAGCAGCAAUUCUGAGGUUUCGAAAGAGCUUCUUGCUGAACUUCUUGUUCAGUUUGCCUCCACGCUUUCCCCUACCACCAGAAAAUUUAAACAAAACAACCUGCUUUUGCCUGAAUGACCUAGGUAACAACCUACUUUAGCUUGAGCUGCUUAGAUAUUUCAGCUAAAAAUGGCUUAUUUCCAUGAGUCACCUGGAUAAUUGCAUUACUCUGCUGGCCCACUUAGCUGGGUGGGCCAGCAGGUGUUAAGUGCAAGUGUCAACGAGUACUUCAUUGUUUUCCACUCUAUGGAUAGUACUGUGACAGUUUCUUAGUGCCUGGAGAAGUACCUCUUGAUUCAAUUUCAGCCCUU